rnacentral:rRNA from 1 species
GCUGGCGGCGUGCCUAACACAUGCAAGUCGAACGAGAAAGUGGAGCAAUCCAUGAGUAAAGUGGCGACCGGGUGAGUAACACGUGACUAACCUACCUCCGAGUGGGGAAUAACUCCGGGAAACCGGGGCUAAUACCGCAUAACAUCGCAAGAUCAAAGCAGCAAUGCGCUUGGAGAGGGGGUCGCGGCUGAUUAGCUCGUUGGCGGGGUAACGGCCCACCAAGGCGAAGAUCGGUAUCCGGCCUGAGAGGGCGCACGGACACACUGGAACUGAAACACGGUCCAGACUCCUACGGGAGGCAGCAGUGGGGAAUUUUGCGCAAUGGGGGAAACCCUGACGCAGCAACGCCGCGUGGAGGAUGAAGCCCUUUGGGGCGUAAACUCCUUUCGACUCGGACGAUAAUGACGGUACGAGUGGAAGAAGCACCGGCUAACUCUGUGCCAGCAGCCGCGGUAAUACAGAGGGUGCGAGCGUUGUUCGGAAUUAUUGGGCGUAAAGGGCGCGUANGCGGUGCGGUAAGUCAC